rnacentral:tRNA from 1 species
GGCCUCGUAACUCGGUUGGUAGAGCACUCGCGGUACUGAGGCGAGGGUGGUGACCAUGCAUGGGUUCGAAUUCCGCCGGGGCCA